UGAAAUAGUGACAGAAGAACACUAUGAGGAAGAAAAUCCUUUAGCUAACUAUAACUUAGUUAGGGAUAGAGAGAGGAGACAAACGAGAGAACCAAGAAGGUUCGAUUUUGAAUCUAAAUUAGCUUUCGCCCAAGCUAGUUAUGAAGAACUAGCUGAUAAAGAGCCAAAGACCUUUGAAGAAGCAAUAGGCAGUGAUUAAUCUAAUGAAUGGCUUAAGGCAAUGAAAGAAGAGAUGAGUUCUCUAGAAAAGAAUCAUACUUGGGAGCUAG
rnacentral:lncRNA from 1 species